rnacentral:lncRNA from 1 species
GACCAGACUUCCCAUAGGUCUGGAGUAUAUCAUGUGUUGGAGAUGGUCAGUAUUGUAGUGUGUAUGAUGCAGUGUGUAGUGAGUAGUUGUAUCAGGUCAGCAGAUUUUGUCAUGUAUAUAGACUAGCGGAGCUGACUAGAUGAUAUGUAUGUUGUUGUGGUUGUCGGCAGAUUUUGACAUGUAUAUAUAGACUAGCCGAGCGGACUAGAGGAUAGCCUUGCUGUUGCUGUUGUUGUACUUUACUUUUGAUAAAGCGCUUGACGCUUGUAUCUCCAGCACUGACUUAUA